rnacentral:lncRNA from 1 species
UGAGAUGUUACCUUGAGCAUGUACGGUUGACGUACUAUCGGGUCCCACAAGAAGCAUUCCUUGUCGGGAGAUGGCUUAAGGGUGGGCCGAUUAUGUGUUUGAUUAAUACAUUGCAUUUGACUCUGACUAUGAAUGCGUUGCAUUGUGACCAUGAAGUAGUGGGGAGGAAAUGACGGGACGACUUAGAGCACCGUGAUGUAAGUAGGGACGGCACUGAUUGGACGGUGAUUCGCCAACAAUGUCUUGAGGGAGAGUCUGGGUGAGACGAGUCCCUUAUAUUCCUG